ACGGGUGAGUAAUGCCUAGGAAUCUGCCUGGUAGUGGGGGAUAACGUUCGGAAACGGACGCUAAUACCGCAUACGUCCUACGGGAGAAAGCAGGGGACCUUCGGGCCUUGCGCUAUCAGAUGAGCCUAGGUCGGAUUAGCUAGUUGGUGAGGUAAUGGCUCACCAAGGCGACGAUCCGUAACUGGUCUGAGAGGAUGAUCAGUCACACUGGAACUGAGACACGGUCCAGACUCCUACGGGAGGCAGCAGUGGGGAAUAUUGGACAAUGGGCGAAAGCCUGAUCCAGCCAUGCCGCGUGUGUGAAGAAGGUCUUCGGAUUGUAAAGCACUUUAAGUUGGGAGGAAGGGCAUUAACCUAAUACGUUAGUGUUUUGACGUUACCGACAGAAUAAGCACCGGCUAACUCUGUGCCAGCAGCCGCGGUAAUACAGAGGGUGCAAGCGUUGAUCGGAAUUACUGGGCGUAAAGCGCGCGUAGGUGGUUUGUUAAGUUGGAUGUGAAAUCCCCGGGCUCAACCUGGGAACUGCAUUCAAAACUGACUGACUAGAGUAUGGUAGAGGGUGGUGGAAUUUCCUGUGUAGCGG
rnacentral:rRNA from 1 species